rnacentral:hammerhead_ribozyme from 1 species
ACCCGGACGAAGAGUCCCAAAUAGGACGAAAUGCGCAUCCUAGAU